AUGAGUCACUUUCUCCUAAGUUCAACCAUCUUUCUCUCUUCGUCUAUUCAAAUCGAUGAUGAGCCACUUCGCAACGCCUCCACACGCCCUCAGAAUCUUUCAAUCUCUGCUCAUCUCGCUCAAAUAGAGAAUCGAAAUAAAGGGAGAAAUAGAGAAGGAAAAGGAAGGAGUAAACAGCAUCACGUGCGUUGUCCAUACUCUCUCUCUCUAUCAACCCGUCCCACCAAUACAGCGAGAUCCCCUUCGACACACCGUAUAAUCCGAUUCCGGUUUCCAUGGAAACAAUCUCAAAGAUCUAGCUUCUAG